GACGAACGCUGGCGGCGUGCUUAACACAUGCAAGUCGAACGGAAAGGCCCUGCUUUUGUGGGGUGCUCGAGUGGCGAACGGGUGAGUAACACGUGAGUAACCUGCCCUUGACUUUGGGAUAACUUCAGGAAACUGGGGCUAAUACCGGAUAGGAGCUCCUGCUGCAUGGUGGGGGUUGGAAAGUUUCGGCGGUUGGGGAUGGACUCGCGGCUUAUCAGCUUGUUGGUGGGGUAGUGGCUUACCAAGGCUUUGACGGGUAGCCGGCCUGAGAGGGUGACCGGCCACAUUGGGACUGAGAGACGCCGCAGACUCCUGCGGGGGGAAGGAGGGGGGAAUGGUGCAAAGGGGGGGGGCGCCUGAUGCAGCAACGCCGGGUGCGGGAUGACGCCCUGGGGUUUGAAACCCUCUUCCGCCUGUGAAGAAGGGGGAGGGGGGUGAGUGGAUAAAAAGACCCCGGCUAACUCCGCC
rnacentral:rRNA from 1 species